rnacentral:rRNA from 1 species
GACGAACGCUGGCGGCGUGCUUAACACAUGCAAGUCGAACGCUGAAGCUCAGCUUGCUGGGUGGAUGAGUGGCGAACGGGUGAGUAACACGUGAGUAACCUGCCCUCUUCUUUGGGAUAACGCCCGGAAACGGGUGCUAAUACUGGAUAUUCACUGAUUCUCGCAUGGGGGUUGGUGGAAAGGUUUUUUCUGGUGGGGGAUGGGCUCGCGGCCUAUCAGCUUGUUGGUGGGGUGAUGGCCUACCAAGGCUUUGACGGGUAGCCGGCCUGAGAGGGUGACCGGUCACAUUGGGACUGAGAGACGGCCCAGACUCCUACGGGAGGCAGCAGUGGGGAAUAGUGCACAAUGGGCGAAAGCCUGAUGCAGCGACGCCGCGUGAGGGAUGGAGGCCUUCGGGUUGUAAACCUCUUUCGCUCAUGGUCAAGCCGCAGCGUUGGGUUGUGGUGAGGGUAGUGGGUAAAGAAGCGCCGGCUAACUACGUG